rnacentral:rRNA from 2 species
UUUCGCAAUGCCCGAAAGGGUGACGAAGCGACGCCGCGUGUGGGAAGAAGGCCUUCGGGUUGUAAACCACUGUCGGGAGUUAAGAAAUGCAAGAAUGUUAAUAGCGUUUUUGCUUGACUAAGGCUCCGGAGGAAGCCACGGCUAACUCUGUGCCAGCAGCCGCGGUAAUACAGAGGCGGCAAGCGUUGUUCGGAAUUAUUGGGCGUAAAGAGCACGUAGGCGGCUAUAUAAGUCGGUUGUGAAAGCCUUCCGCUCAACGGGAGAACAGCAUCCGAUACUGUGUGGCUUGAGUGUGGGAGGGGAGAGCGGAACUUCUGGUGGAGCGGUGAAAUGCGUAGAUAUCAGAAGGAACGCCGGCGGCGAAAGCGGCUCUCUGGCCCAUAACUGACGCUGAGUGUGCGAAAGCUAGGGGAGCAAACGGGAUUAGAUACCCCGGUAGUCCUAGCCGUAAACGAUGGGCACUAAGUAGAGGGGUUUU